AGCCGUAUGCACCAUGCUGUAAACCCGCAAGAGAAAGCGGCUCCAGCUUCAACAAUCCUCAGUGGAAGGCAAAUCUAGACCGAACAAGACCCAUACCCGACCCACUCCCGGAAGAAUGUCUAGCUAUUAUAGAUUCUCUCUUGGCUAUCCACGGUUUCCCGCAAGAAUUCCUUAACAAUCGUAACGAGGGGCUCAAUUGUAAGGCCAAUGCCCAGCCAGAGCCUUUCAGUGACGGCGUUUAAUCAGACCCUUUAGAUGACGAUGGAUCGCAAAACGCUACUGAAGUUAAUUCUCUCAGAACUUUAGCUUCUCCUAAGUCCGCAUUUCCCGCUUUGGAAGAUGUUCUUGUAGCUGAAGAAAAAUAUGUAGAGAAUGCUAUAAGAUGUGGAGGUUUUGCCCCUACAAAGGCAUCUUGUAUAAAGAGUAUUUUGAGUUACCUGCAUCGGAGUAAAGGCAAAUUAUGCUUGGAAUAUUUGAGAGAUUUAUCAAUUGAUCACAUUAAGGCCAAGCUCUCUCGUUUCAAAGUCAUUGUCCAUUGGUCCCAAAACGCUGGUGUUCCAAAUUGUGACACUGAUUCCAAAGUGAUCUGACUUCAGCCAAACAUGCUUGAUGAUUGGAAACCUGUUAACCUAUGCUUAUGUUCACAGAACCAAGGGAGGGAAAUACGAGGGAGAUUCAGUUAGAAAGAGUGGUCCAGAGUCUUCAAAUUCAGCAGCUCCAGUAGGUGACAAGUGGCAGGCUGUGAGGGGAAAGAAUCAAGAAUCGGUUAUGAAAUUUUGUAUAUCAAGUAAAGUGAAGAAGGGUGGGAGGCAGAGAGAAUUAUUUGGAAUCUUGUUUAGCUGAAUUCUUGUUUCAUUUUGAGAGUACUGGCCUCUCAAUAGCCAGCUUGCAGUGUCUAUUACAUUCUGAAUUUCAGUUUCCUUAUUGUGAGCUUUGUAAUGAACUUUGUGGUGUGAUGAAUAUUGCAACUGAUGAAUGAAAAUUAACUCGUCUUUGCUAUUCUGUUCCA